UAAAGAAAAUAUUUGGUUCUGGUAUAAUGUUAGCUACAGAGUUUUUUACAUUACACAAUGUAGGAUAAUUUCGUGAUGUGUGAAAGUCUGAUUUACGUGAUAAGCCGAAACUUAAAGUAUCCUAAAAGGAGAAAUUGGCAGCAGGAGCAUAAGUUUUUAAUGAUGACGCGAAGGAAAUCACAACUCAAGUGGGUAGAUCUGGAAAUCAAUGAGUUCUAGCUUGAAACGAAUAAAAAACUAACUAAAUUGAAGCGAAAGAGGGUGCCAGCAGCUGCGGUCACUCCCUCUCUCGAGGAGCUAAUAAGGGUGCAGCUUAGAGGCAGUUAGUCAAAAUGCAUAACGCAAGACAUACAGCAGGGACUAUGGGUGAAAUCUCAGUCCUGCGGGAGGUCCAAAACUUGCGUAAAGAUGAGUCUGCGAAGUUAUGGGUAUAGACCCGGAUUUGGUACCCGGUUAUUCCAUAAUGUCAAGUAUAGCUAUUUUAUUUGAAUUAAUAGUUUGCUAGGGGUACUACGAGUAACUGCUUAAAACUCGAAGAACUUGGCGGUUCCGCAUAACCAUCCAGAGGCUCUUGGCGCUUAAUCUGAUGAUCCGCGUGAUAUCUUACCUGCCCUAUAGAAAGCAGUGUACUGCCGUCGAAAGCUUAUGAUGUGAGUAAAUGAAAAUAGGCCCAAUCUUGGGAUUUUAAGUAAUUAAUAAUCAUACCGAGGCUAGGUCAGGUCGAAGUGCUCCUUAUGGGCAAGGGGUUAGCUGAGAGACAAAUAUUUAGACAUAUAAAGAUUUUAGAGAUGAAAUUCUCUUAGUGAAUAUAAGGAUUUGGGAGUAAAAAGAGAGUAAUUCGUUUUUUUGAAAAGACGCAACUGCGGUGCGUUCAAAUCGCCCGUCACCCUAGCCGAAAGGAGAGGUAAGUCGUAACAUGGUAAGGGUAGGGGAACUUGCUCUUUUAAU
rnacentral:ncRNA from 1 species